rnacentral:rRNA from 1 species
AGAGUUUGAUCCUGGCUCAGGACGAACGCUGGCGGCGUGCCUAAUACAUGCAAGUCGAACGAAGCUUUCUUUCACCGAAUGCUUGCAUUCACCGAAAGAAAACUUAGUGGCGAACGGGUGAGUAACACGUAGGCAACCUGCCCAAAAGAGGGGGAUAACACUUGGAAACAGGUGCUAAUACCGCAUAACCAUGAACACCGCAUGAUGUUCAUGUAAAAGACGGCUUUUGCUGUCACUUUUGGAUGGGCCUGCGGCGUAUUAACUUGUUGGUGGGGUAACGGCCUACCAAGGUGAUGAUACGUAGCCGAACUGAGAGGUUGAUCGGCCACAUUGGGACUGAGACACGGCCCAAACUCCUACGGGAGGCAGCAGUAGGGGAUCUUCCACAAUGGACGAAAGUCUGAUGGAGCAACGCCGCGUGAAUGAAGAAGGCCUUCGGGUCGUAAAAUUCUGUUGUCAGAGAAAAACGUGCGUGAGAGUAACUGUUCACGUAUUGACGGUAUCUGACCAGAAAGCCACGGCUAACUACGUGCCAGCAGCCGCGGUAAUACGUAGGUGGCGAGCGUUGUCCGGAUUUAUUGGGCGUAAAGGGAAGGCAGGCGGUCUUUUAAGUCUGAUGUGAAAGCCUUCGGCUUAACCGAAGUAGUGCAUUGGAAACUGGAAGACUUGAGUGCAGAAGAGGAGAGUGGAACUCCAUGUGUAGCGGUGAAAUGCGUAGAUAUAUGGAAGAACACCAGUGGCGAAAGCGGCUCUCUGGUCUGUAACUGACGCUGAGGUUCGAAAGCGUGGGUAGCAAACAGGAUUAGAUACCCUGGUAGUCCACGCCGUAAACGAUGAGUGCUAAGUGUUGGAGGGUUUCCGCCCUUCAGUGCUGCAGCUAACGCAUUAAGCACUCCGCCUGGGGAGUACGGUCGCAAGACUGAAACUCAAAGGAAUUGACGG